rnacentral:ncRNA from 1 species
ACUAAUACGUCGAAUCAGAAAGUAAAGAAUAAUCACUUGUGAUAGCGAGUCAAGGUUGGUGUGAGCUUGAUGACAAAUUAUUCUUAAAAAGAGCUGAGGAGUAGCUUCAUAAAAAAUACAAUUUUGUAAUGGUUGAAGCCGUAAAUCUGCGAUAAAGAUAUUAAAGUGGCAAUAUACAUAGUUUGUAUAUUGCAAUUAGAGUGGUACCGCGAACCUUCGUCUCUUGC